UCCACAAGCUAAAUUUGGUAUGAUUGUGACAACCCAUAAUUCUCAAGAUGAAACUUGGAAGAUCAAUGACCUUAUCACUAUUUUUGUUGUCGGGGAGGCAAACUCAAGAAUGGAAAAUCUCAAGUAGUUUAUUUUGUCUUUAAACCUCUCAACGAGAAGAAAGGUACGAAAUCUAAACCUAAUGCUCUUAAAAUUAUACAUUUAGAACAAUAAAAAGGACACUGAUCAACCUGGAGGCGCGACGGCGAAGGUGAAGAGACAGAGAGAGGAGGAGGUCGAGAGAGAGAGAGAGAGAAGGGAAGGUUGACGGCGAAGGUGAAGAAACAGAGAGAGGGGGAGGUCGGGAGAGAGAAGCAGAGAGGAAGGGAAUAUGUGGGUCUCUCAAUUUGGGCGGGAAUUCAAAAAAAUUGGGCAAACAAUUGGGCCUUCAAGAAACUACCAUUUCUAGAGAGAGACUGAGAAAGGGAGAGAGAAAAAGGAAGAUGUUGGAGUCCUGUUACAGGCCACUGGAGCGGUGCUUCGGCUGCGAUGGCGGCGGCGGAGGAGGCGACAGGCUUCUGUGGGACAUGGGCUUGAAGCUCCAUGCUUCCGGAAACUACUCGAUUGUGGUGGUUCAAGCGAAUUCUGCGUUGGAAGACCAAGGCCAGGUUUUUAAGUCGCCUUCUGCCACCUUUGUUGGCGUCUACGACGGCCACGGAGGCCCUGAAGCCUCUCGCUUCAUCACCCAUCACCUCUUUCCUUUCGUCCACAUUAGGUUGGAAGAUAAGAAGAAAAUGAAUUUAUGAACUUUGUUAGAAGAAACAAGGGCAGCUAUUUAUGGGGAUAAUUAAUGGUAAUACCUAAUCAAAAUUAAACUCAAAUUAAUCUUAAUCCUUCCAAUCUAAAUCCCUAAGAUUUCAUUUAACAAAUUUGCUUGCUUCCCAGAAUUUGCUUUGGAAGGAGGAAGGAUUGUCUGCAGAGGUGAUAAAGAGGGCAUUCGAUGCCACUGAAGAGGAGUUUAUUCGCUUGGUGAAGCUGUCAUGGAUGACUCGGCCACAAACAUACUUUGGAUGCUUUUAAUUUUCCAUUGUAUAGAGUGUUCUUUUAUUGUUGGAACUGCAAUAUACUACAGCCUUGACUCCAGUUUUCACAUUUUAUGGAUUGAAAAUAAGUGCGAGCAACCUGGAGGACCAUGGACCAUUGAUAAUACACUUGGACUGACCUGAGGUUCUAGAGCAUGCUCUUGGCAUUGCAGGAGGCAACAGAGACAUACCUUGUUGGGUUGUUUGAAGAUACCAAUCUCUAUACAAUUCAUGCAAAGCAUCACCAUUAUGCCUAAAGACGUUCAGCUUGCAAGGAGAAUUAUGGGGGGGGGGGGGG